UGGAACAAGGAUCUGCCUAUUUCUAUGGAU
rnacentral:piRNA from 1 species